rnacentral:siRNA from 1 species
UGACCUGCGAAGUGAGUGUAGC